GACGAACGCUGGCGGCGUGCUUAACACAUGCAAGUCGAACGGAAAGGCCCUGCUUUUGUGGGGUGCUCGAGUGGCGAACGGGUGAGUAACACGUGAGUAAACUGCCCUUGACUUUGGGAUAACUUCAGGAAACUGGGGCUAAUACCGGAUAGGAGCUCCUGCUGCACGGUGGGGGUAGGAAAGUUUCGGCGGUUGGGGAUGGACUCGCGGCUUAUCAGCUUGUUGGUGGGGUAGUGGCUUACCAAGGCUUUGACGGGUAGCCGGCCUGAGAGGGUGACCGGCCACAUUGGGCCUGAGAUACGGCCCAGACUCCUACGGGAGGCAGCAGUGGGGAAUAUUGCACAAUGGGCGGAAGCCUGAUGCAGCAACGCCGCGUGCGGGAUGACGGCCUUCGGGUUGUAAACCGCUUUCGCCUGUGACGAAGCGUGAGUGACGGUAAUGGGUAAAGAAGCACCGGCUAACUACGUG
rnacentral:rRNA from 1 species